CCUACGGGAGGCAGCAGUAGGGAAUCUUCCACAAUGGGCGAAAGCCUGAAGGAGCAAAGCCGCGUGGGUGAAGACUGCCCUAUGAUCGUUAAACCUCGUUGUUAUGGGAGUAAGUGCGUCAGAGUAACUGUUCACGUUUCGACCGUAUGUAACCAGAAAGCCACGGCUAACUACGUGCCAGCAGCCGCGGUAAUACGUAGGUGGCAUGCUUUGUCCGGAUUUAUUGGGUUAAAUGGGUGCGCGGGCGGAAGAUCAAGUUAGCGGUAAAAUUGGGGGGCUCAACCUCGUCGAGCCGUUGAAACUGGUUUUCUUGAGUGCGUGAGAAGUAUGCGGAAUGCGUGGUGUAGCGGUGAAAUGCAUAGAUAUCACGCAGAACUCCGAUUGCGAAGGCAGCAUACCGGCGCUCAACUGACGCUGAUGCACGAAAGUGUGGGUAUCGAACAGGAUUAGAUACCCUUGUAGUC
rnacentral:rRNA from 1 species